UCUACCAAGCCUAAAACUCUAAAAGAUGUACUCAAUCAUGGUUGUUUCACACAAAGGUACAGGGUUGAUAUUUGUGAGAUCAUAAUUAUAAAUGGUAGAUUAGGGCCCCUUCGGCCUGCUCAUGACCGAAGGACAUAACCGAAGGGUUCUUUGUCCAAAUCUUCAAUCAUCCGUCGCCGCAUCCCUUUGGUUGGUGGUUGCCCGGAGGAGAAGGCUGAAGGUGACCUUCGGUUGAGUUGAGGCCGAAUACUCUCCCUGAAGGGAAAGUCCUCUGUCCCCUUGGAUCAUCUCGUAAUCGAUUGGUUUUCAGAAAGGAACAGAUCCAACCACAAGAGGCACUGAAUCUUGCCAUUAUCUGGGCAAAGGAGUGGCAGACAGCCCAAUCAACGCAAUCCCAAAUCAGAUCCACUCCACCUGAUUCACCAAUUCGAGUGACUUGCUUCACUGAUGCGGCUUGGACAGAAUAAGAAGAAAGGAUGCGGCUGGAUCUU